CUAAUACAUGCAGUCGAACGGUGUCUUCGGACAUAGUGGCGCACGGGUGCGUAACACGUAUGCAACCUACCUUACAUUGGGGGAUAGCCUUUCGAAAGGGAGAUUAAUACCGCAUAAGACAGUAACUAGGCAUCUAGUAGCUGUUAAAGAUUUAUCGAUGUAAGCUGGGCAUGCGACCAAUUAGCUAGUUGGUGAGGUAAUGGCUCACCAAGGCUAUGAUUGGUAGGGGAACUGAGAGGUCAAUCCCCCACACUGGCACUGAGAUACGGGCCAGACUCCUACGGGAGGCAGCAGUAGGGAAUAUUGGGCAAUGGACGCAAGUCUGACCCAGCCAUGCCGCGUGCAGGAUGAAGGCGUUAUGCGUUGUAAACUGCUUUUAUACAGGAAGAAACGACUCUUGCGAGAGGCAUUGACGGUACUGUAUGAAUAAGCACCGGCUAACUCCGUGCCAGCAGCCGCGGUAAUACGGAGGGUGCAAGCGUUGUCCGGAUUUAUUGGGUUUAAAGGGUGCGCAGGUGGUUUAUUAAGUCAGUGGUGAAAGACGGUCGCUCAACGAUUGCAGUGCCAUUGAAACUGGUAGACUUGAGUAAAGUAGAGGUGGGCGGAAUUGAUAGUGUAGCGGUGAAAUGCAUAGAUAUUAUCAAGAACUCCGAUUGCGUAGGCAGCUCACUUGGCUUUUACUGACACUCAUGCACGAAAGUGUGGGUAUCAAACAGGAUUAGAUACCCUGGUAGUCCACACUGUAAACGAUGAUAACUAGGUGUCGGCCGAAUCUGGUCGGUGCCACAGCGAAAGCGUUAAGUUAUCCACCUGGGGAGUACGCCGGCAACGGCGAAACUCAAAGGAAUUGACGGGGGUCCGCACAAGCGGUGGAGCAUGUGGGUUAA
rnacentral:rRNA from 1 species